CGGUCCUCUCUCCAUUCUUCCAUCUCCUGAGAUCCCAUCCAGUCUUUCAGUCAUGAGGAUCUUCGCCAUUCUUUCAGCUAUUUUCUUCAUGGUGCUGAUGGCUGCUCCAGCACUUGGUCAGCAACCAAAGUCAACUGCUGAAUGCCACCGUCGUGGUUGGAAGUGCUAUAAGCAUUGCCCAAGUGGGACAAAACACGUUGGGAGUUGUGAUCGUCCUCAAGUUUGCUGCAAAUAAUGGGUAGUGUCACGUUGCUGGGUCGUCAUAGUGGAUUUCUGGGUUACUUCCAUGCCUUGAAGAUUCAUUGAUCCUGCUUUUUUUUGCUUUGCAUUUGCGCUUUUAAUGUAGCUGAUCUUAUGCUGAAUUAUUUCUGUUUACAUGAAUUAAAACUAAGGCAUUUCAGCAUCUA